UGCCAGCAGCCGCGGUAACACGUACUGUGCGAACGUUAUUCGGAAUCACUGGGCUUAAAGGGUGCGUAGGCGGUUUAUCAAGUCAGAUGUGAAAUGCCUGAGCUCAACUGAGGCACUGCGUUUGAAACUGAUAGACUUGAGUAUUCCAGGGGUAUGCGGAACUGCCAGUGGAGCGGUGAAAUGCGUUGAUAUUGGCAGGAACACCAGUGGCGAAGGCGGCAUACUGGGGGAUAACUGACGCUGAGGCACGAAAGCCAGGGUAGCGAACGGGAUUAGAUA
rnacentral:rRNA from 1 species